UUGUCAGAAUAAUAGUAGAGAGAAUGAUUUAUUUCAGCUUUCAUUUCUUUCAUCACAUUCCCAGUGGGUCAGAAGUUUACAUACACUCAAUGAGUAUUUGGUAGCAUUGCCUUAAAUGGUUUCACUUGGGUCAAAUGUUUUGGGUAGCCUUCCACAAGCUUCCCACAAUAAGUUGGAUGAAUUUUGUCCCAUUCCUCCUGACAGAGCUGGUGUAACUGAGUCAGGUUUGUAGGCCUCCUGACAGAGCUGGUGUAACUGAGUCAGGUUUGUAGGCCUCCUGACAGAGCUGGUGUAACUGAGUCAGGUUUGUAGGCCUCCUGACAGAGCUGGUGUAACUGAGUCAGGUUUGUAGGCCUCCUGACAGAGCUGGUGUAACUGAGUCAGGUUUGUAGGCCUCCUGACAGAGCUGGUGUAACUGAGGCAGGUUUGUAGGCCUCCUGACAGAGCUGGUGUAACUGAGUCAGGUUUGUAGGCCUCCUGACAGAGCUGGUGUAACUGAGUCAGGUUUGUAGGCCUCCUGACAGAGCUGGUGUAACUGAGUCAGGUUUGUAGGCCUCCUGGCAGAGCUGGUGUAACUGAGUCAGGUUUGUAGGCCUCCUGGCAGAGCUGGUGUAACUGAGUCAGGUUUGUAGGCCUCCUGACAGAGCUGGUGUAACUGAGUCAGGUUUGUAGGCCUCCUGGCAGAGCUGGUGUAACUGAGUCAGGUUUGUAGGCCUCCUGACAGAGCUGGUGCAACUGAGUCAGGUUUGUAGGCCUCCUUGCUCGCACACACUUUUUCAUUUCUGCCCACAAAUGUUCUAUAGGAUUGAGGUCAGGGCUUUGUGAUGGCCACUCCAAUACCUUGACUAUGUUGUCCUUAAGCCAUUUUGCCACAACUUUAGAAGUAUGCUUGGGGUCAUUGUCCAUUUGGAAGACCCAUUUGUGACCAAGCUUUAACUUCCUAACUUAUGUCUUGAGAUGUUGCUUCAAUAUAUCCACAUAAUCUUCCUCCCUCAUGACGCCAUCUAUUUUGUGAAGUGCACCAGUCCCUCCUGCAGCAAAGCACCCCCAGAACAUGAUGCUGCCACCCCCGUGCUUCACGGUUGGGAUGGUGUUCUUCGGCUUGCAAGCCUCCCCCUUUUUCCUCCAAACAUAACAAUGGUCAUUAUGGCCAAACAGUUCUAUUUUGUUUCAUCAGACCAGAGGACAUUUCUCCAAAAAGUAUGAUCUUUGUCCCCAUGUGCAGUUGCAAACCGUAGCCUGGCUUUUUAUGGCAGUUUUGGAGCAGUGGCUUCUUCCUUGCUGAGAGGCCUUUCAGGUUAUGUCGAUAUAGGACUCGUUUUACUGUGGAUAUAGAUACUUUUGUACCUGUUUCCUCCAGCAUCUUCACAGGGUCCUUUGCUGUUGU